GACGAACGCUGGCGGCGUGCUUAACACAUGCAAGUCGAACGGAAAGGCCCUGCUUUUGUGGGGUGCUCGAGUGGCGAACGGGUGAGUAACACGUGAGUAACCUGCCCUUGACUUUGGGAUAACUUCAGGAAACUGGGGCUAAUACCGGCUAGGAGCUCCGGCUGCAUGGUGGGGGUUGGAAAGUUUCGGCGGUUGGGGAUGGACUCUCGGCUUAUCAGCUUGUUGGUGGGGUAGUGGCUUACCAAGGCUUUGACGGGUAGCCGGCCUGAGAGGGUGACCGGCCACAUUGGGACUGAGAGACGGCCCAGACUCCUACGGGAGGCAGCAGUGGGGAAUAUUGCACAAUGGGCGGAAGCCUGAUGCAGCAACGCCGCGUGCGGGAUGACGGCCUUCGGGUUGUAAACCGCUUUCGCCUGUGACGAAGCGUGAGUGACGGUAAUGGGUAAAGAAGCACCGGCUAACUACGUG
rnacentral:rRNA from 1 species